rnacentral:rRNA from 1 species
UACGUAGGGGGCAAGCGUUGUCCGGAAUCAUUGGGCGUAAAGAGCGUGUAGGCGGCUUGGUAAGUCCGCUGUGAAAGUCCAGGGCUCAACCCUGGAAAGCCGGUGGAAACUGUCAAGCUUGAGUACGGUAGGGGCAGAGGGAAUUUCCGGUGGAGCGGUGAAAUGCGUAGAGAUCGGAAAGAACACCAACGGCGAAAGCACUCUGCUGGGCCGACACUGACACUGAGAGACGAAAGCUAGGGGAGCGAAUGGG